GGAAACCCUCUCCACACUACACUCCACCAUCCACCAUGUUCGCCUCCUCCUUCUGCCGGCGGCGGCUCCUCCUCCGCAUCCCCGGCGAAGCUACAAACCUCCUCCAGCUCCAGUCCAUCCAUCUCGCCCGCAGCAGCUACUCCUCAACCGCCGUCUCCCGUGCACCCAGCUCCGACCUCUGCCCAGCCACCGUCUCCUACCUCAUCUCUUGCGGCCUCUCCCCCGCCGCCGCCGCCACCACGGCCACCACUCAAAGGAUCCGCAUCGUUUCCCCCGACAAGGCAGACGCCGUGUGCGCCCUCCUCAGAGCCUACGGCUUCGCCGACGCGGACAUCGUCCGCACGGUGCGCAGCGCCCCGUCCAUCCUCAUCACCGACCCCGAGCGGAUCCUCCGUCCCAAGCUCGACUUUUUCGCCUCCCUCCGCUUCGAGCCCCGCAAGAUCGCCACCGCGCCGUUCCUCCUCGUGUGCAGCCUCGACAAGAACAUCGUCCCGUCCAUCCGGUUCCUCCGCGGCGUCAUCGGCGGCGACGACCAGCUCCGCCGCGGCUUCUCCCGCGUUCCGCGGGCCCUCAUGGCGGACGUCGACCGGAACAUGCGCCCCGCCGUGGAGGCCCUCCGCCGCUGCGGCCUCGACGACGCCGCCAUCUCCAAGCUCCUCGUCAUCCAGAUGGGCGUGCUCCUCACGUCGCCGGAUCGCAUCUGCGAAAUCUUCCAGGAACUCAAGGCAAUUGGUAUGUCCAUCUCGGACUCGCGCUUCCUAUACUGCUUCCGCGCGAUGUGCAGCCUUAAGAGGGGCGCAUGGCGGCAGAAGCUCGCAUUGCUCCGGAGCUUCGGGCUGUCGGAGGGUGAGGUGGUCAAGGCCUUCAAGACGCAGCCCAUGCUGUUCCUUUACGCCGAUGACAACAUCAAAAGGAAGCUCCGGUUCUUGCUGGACGAGGUCAAGCUUGGAGUAAGCGAUGUAAUUGCCCACCCUGUGAUUCUGUCUUAUAGCAUGGAGAACUGCAUCCUGCCAAGGUGCGCAGUGCUGAGCUUGUUGAUGAAGGAGGGGAAGAUCCAGAGAGAGAUCAAAUUGCUUCCAGCAUUGCUUGGUUGUUCCACAGUGUUCUCGACCAGAUAUGUACUGAGGCAUGCUGAUGAUGUGCCAGAUGUUGUCAAGGCGUAUGAGGCACUGGUAGCAUGUACUUGGAGUGCCAUUCAGCAUUUACCCUUGUCAGGGGUUCUCCAUAUUAAAGAUGUGCGACCUGUAUGGAAGCAAGCUUUGCAAGUAGUGAUCAUUGACCUGAAGUAAAUAAUGUGAGCCGCAAAAAGUAAAGUGGACAUGAGUGAUACGCUGGACUAUCUGACGAGAAGAAGCAACAGAUGGCCCAACUACAAAAGAAAGUUGCAGCCCUCUGUGUGAAUUUCACUGUACCUCAAUCCUCUACCCCACAAGUUUCACCUGCUUGUGCCUGGAGGGCCCGAUGAAGAUUAUUCCCUGCUUUGAAAGCCUUCAUGGUGUUUCAUCCUUAUCCCAAAGACUGCUCUUCUCUAUACCACAGUGGCUAAGCAAUGCCCAGAUGAGGGUUAUGAACUCGCCUCCCGACUCGAGGUGAUGUUUGUGAUCCGCUACAUUCCAACUUGGGGCCAUGUGCACAAGCAAGUCAGCCCACACUUCAGCUAGAAUCUUCCACCGGUCUUCUGUGUUCUCUUCAUUGUCGAUCAGGGCCUUUCCAAGAGUAGCACCUUGCUGCACUAUGUUCAUGUCCGUAAUCCUAUCCAGAUUGUCCGUCGCGGCUUCUUCCGCUAUGGCAAUGAGUUUGCUAUAGCUACACUUUCUCAAGUUGCAAUCUUUGAGCUGUUUACGAACAUCUGCCAAGGUUUCCUCAAAGAUCAAAUCAGGCACAACGAAACUAUCUGGCAACAGUGUAGACAUAAAAACCUGCAGAUAAGCACAGUACCGGGACAAGCUGAUUGCAAUGUGGUAAUCAGUCUCUAGUUGACCGGCGAUUUUCUCGUUGACAAGGUACGGCGGCUUUGAAGUGCAGGUGGCGAAUGUCUUCAGGCCUGACCAGGUAGAGCGAAGGAACCCAGGUUUUUCCAUGUCAAUUUUAGACUCUCGCGCAAGUUCGAUUUCGCAGAGGCUGGUGGCAAUGUGCCACACCAGAAUGACCUGAGAGCAUGUGUGUAGCUCACGGCAGGCCCAGCUGUACCGCUUAAACUUUUCGCCACUCAGCGAUGGAAUUUCUUUGGGCAGCUGAGUGUUGUUGAGGUUCACGUCGCGGAGCACCUGUAAGAUUGCUGCCUUUACACAAUUUGGGACCUUGAUAGCUUCACCACGUUUUCUUCCAUCUAAAUCCUGUGGCAUCUUUCCCAGGCUAAUGGCAUUUGCCAUUUUCCGAAAGAAUGGCUUGUAAUUGUAGGACUCCAAGAAGUCGUACUGGUCCAUGCAUCCAUGCCAUGCCUCAGCAAUAUUGGAGUUGUAAAAUGAUCUGAUAAAACGCCCAUCACGAUAAAACCAGCUGAACCAUGAUCGGCUCUGCACAUACUUGGACACGAGGAGUAAUCUUGUCCAGUUCGACAGCAGGUACGUGACCAUCUCCCAGACCUCCUUGAACAUCAUGAAGACCAUGAACAACCAAGUGAUUAAGACAUCAACAUUCCUUCCGUUCCUGUGGAGCAUAAAAUUGUCCUCCUUAUUCACGGGUUGUAGGUGGUAGACUGUUCGGAUGUCCACAGCCAGCCAGAAGGCGACAGCAAAGGUUGCCAUCGACAGGAGGAGACUGAAAAACAUAGAACUAAGCCCGCUCCAGAAGACCAGAGGGUAGAGGGUGUGGAAGUAGUCUCUGGUGAAUGCAAGCUCUAACUCCAGGAUUUUGAAUACCCGCUCCCCCUCCUUCUCUGCCUUCUCCCGUUCCAAAUCUAUCCCUUCUGUCUCUGGCGACACAUUAUCCGCCAUGCCCGCUGUUUCUGCUUCAGGCACUGUCUCUGUCUCCACUGCAGCCACUCCUGCCAUUUGGCUCAUCUCUAUCUCCACAGCCAUUGCUGAAGCUGCCAUUGUUUCUGUCUCUCUCGCCGCCUGAACAGCUGCCACCGUGUCAAUAGUUGCCGUCUGUGCCGCUGCCUCUGCUGCCGUUUGUUUUUGACUACCAGUGAUUUUUGAUUUGAUUAGAUUUCGUGUACUGUCAAUGCUUUCUCUUUGCAGGUUCACAUCCUCAAACCUACAGCGAAGCAGCCUAGACAGCGUGAAAGCCACGCUGAUAUCCUUGUAUCUGUCGCCCUCGCCGCUGCUGGAGCUUAGCAGCGGCUCCUUGCAUCCCGAGAUCUUGUCCAGUGUGAUCAGCGACGUCUUCUCAACCCCCUCAAGCUGCAGAGUAUAACUAGGCCUCUUCAAAAUGAUGUUCUUAUCGGACUCUCCGCAAACCAGGUAAUUUUUAUCGUUGUUGCUGUCCUGCUCACCACCGCCCUGUUCACGGUCACGGGGACGGUUGCGCAUGUACUCUGGGAUGAACUCAGAGUUCCGGCCAUGCAACAGCGAUCUGAUGGCCAUCUCAUGUGCGACAAAGCGGUAUAGGCUCUUCAGCAGCAGAAGGGCCCACAGGGACCAAAGGGGUCUCGUGAACUGCAAGGCGCGGGUGCCAGUCAAGACUCCGGCUCCCAUGAACUUGAUCACAUUUCCCAACUCUGAGAGCCGGCGACUUUGGUCCGGGAUGCCGUAUCCGGAUAGGUAACCGAGACUGGCACGGAGGCUCACCAACACGACGGCCCACACAGGGAACAUCUGAUUACCAAAAGAUGCAGCUUGCAUGGACCCUAUUAGAUACACUACUAUCCGAUCGGACAGGCUAUCCACGGCCUUGAAGACUUUGUUCAAAAACGAGCUGCGAGAUCGGCAACGGUAAAAGUCGACGAUGAACAUCACGAAGAACAUCGCCGUGACCAGUGCAACUAAUGAUUGGAUGCGGAUCAGGACAUAGAUGUCCUCUUUCAUCACGAGGAAGAAGGACUCAAUAACUUUGCGGAUGUUCACCAUUUCGGACAUUUCUAACAUUGCUGGACAGUCCUGCAGGGUAAGUUUUUCGUGAUGAGCAAAGUUUGGAACCCAAUUGAGAAAUGCAAAACUUCAUAGUACAAGUUCGUAAUAUGAAAAACGUUUUAAAUUAAUUAAAUAUGAUUAAAUUCAAGUAUAUAUUUCCAUAACAUUCCAACCUUACAUUUUCAUUAUCUUGCUAAUAUGAAAAACAGUAGCCAAGUUAAUUGGUAUAGAUUGCCCUAGUCUAACUCGUUCUCUAUGUUAGAAAAAGAGGAUCUUUGUUCUUGGGGUUUCAGAUACCUUACCUGUGUGUUUCUGAUAUUAGUUUUGUGGAUUAAUUUCUGAUUAAAGUUGCAAAAGUAUUUUAUUUGUAAGAGACAAUUAUAUUUCUGUGAUACCUCCUAAAUGUUUUCUACUCCCUCCGUCCCAUGAAAAAUGUUGAAGGUUUGUUAAAAUUCGGAUGUAUCUAGAUACUAUUUAGUGUCUAGAUAUAUCUAAAUUUAGAUAAAUAUAAGACAAACUUCAUGGGACCGAGGGAGUAUAUUGGAUUAGAUUUGGGAUGGUUGAGUUUAAAAGCUAAACCUUCUCUUAGACUUGCAACAACUACUGGGAGGUUGAGUGAAAAAAGUUGGCAGUAAGAAGGAUGAUGCACCGUCAAAAAGCUUUGCAGAUUCAGGAUAAUCUUCAUGUUUUUAUCAGAUCUUAUGGAUAAGUAUAGAGCAACUUAUUUCUGGGACAUAGAACUAACGACUGAAUGAUCCCUCUUUUCAUGUUGCUUUGGAUUGGGAAGUGCCAUUGCUACCAUAUACUACUGUUAUGGUACAUGACUCAAGGGCGGAGUCAAAAACAGCCCAAGUGUGACGCUAAUACUGGCUUAGGGAUGCUAAUCACCUAGAGAUUUCAUGUUUGUAACCUUGAAAUUUGAAACAUACUUAUUACACUGCAGCUGCUGGGACGGUUCUAGCACCAGGCGCAGCUCCGCCACUGACGUGACUUGAUGUGCAACAAAUCCAACGUGAAACAAUGAUGGCGUGCACUACCGUUGGAAGAGGUUCGACUGAAACUGCUGAACUUCCGAGCGGUUUUGAAAAUGCUACAUGAAAUCUGCUUAUUGUUGAAUGACAAUAAACUGAAGACUGUUUCUAUCUUGUGGAAUUGGUGGCAUGAACGGAUAUCAAAUAUGUCUUUCAUGCCUUGUUGUAUCGUUCAGAUUUGUUAUGUUCAUGAUGCUGUCUGAUGUGAUUAUUUGUUGAUAGCAACGAGGAAUGUGAUGAGGCGAAAGAGCAGGGGCAAGUGGCGUGAGGGCGGAGACGACGCUACGGUCCGGUGAGCUCUGUGUUUAUUUUUGUACAAUGGUGAGCUCUCGUUGGUAUGGUAUGGGAUCGGGGGAUUUAUAAUUUAUGCAGUGAGCUGUGGAUCAAGAUUGAGUGCGCUUUGACUAUACGGUCGAUCUUGAAAACAAGAAACCAAAGGAAAUAGUUAGUAGUAGUUGUGAUCAACUGUAUAGUAUACAUGAUUAGCUUUUCAUUAUAUGAACUGGACGAAAAUCUUUGAAUUUGGAUACAACUGUAUAUAUGUUCGCAUAUUUCAGUAGCUUGAAAUACUAUAUGAUUGCACAA